ACCUGAAGCUUUAGCACGUUAAAUACACCAAUUCCCAACGGAUCACUGAAGUUAAGCAACGUUGUGAUCGGUCGGUAUCCGGACGGGUGACCGUGUUUGACAAAACUGUUGUCUCUUGAC
rnacentral:rRNA from 1 species